ensembl:lncRNA
GGCCGCAGGCCGAGUCUGAGCAGGGGGUGAGUGCUGCCCUCCCACCCCACGGGGAGGCCAGGGUGGUGCACGUGGGGCGGGGACCAGGCCACGCGCCGCCCCUGCUGGGACAGGGCGUUUAGCUGUAUUUGCCACACACUGACUCUCGUGGGUGAACCUUGUUGCCAAAUCAUUGAAGACGCACACUGGGCAUGUUGAGUCUGUAUCUCCUUUGAUGUUAACCGUAGGCAAGUCAUGGAAGAGGUACUUGGCGGAAGGUUCUGGAACCUGUAAAGUAUGGUGUUCGAUGAAGAAAGGAAGCAUAGGAAACUGGGCCAGGCAGCCACCGGCUUUUGUAGAUGAUGCGUUCCUGAGAUGUUUGCAAGUCCGAUGUCUGAGAGCUGACUUCCACGCACGAAGGGAACUUUGUUCCCAAAGAGCUAAAAUGAUUACAAACCUCCUAUUAGGGUCUGUCAGCAGCUCCAGCUCCAGGGGCCCGGUGGGUGGGUGAGACCCUCAAGAGGUGCCUGGGGCCUUGGGGAGGCCUAGGCAGUCCUUCUUCUUCCUGGCUGGGGCCCCCGGCCCUUCUUCCUUCACCCUCCUCACAUCUACCACGUUCCAAAUAUAUAUAUAUAUACACAUAUAUAUAUGUUUAAAAAAGGUGGACAGCAAGAUGCCAAGCGUCCUGUCUUUGUGGAGGUUGGGAGAAUGUUACUUCCUUCUCUCCUCCGUUCUGUUUGCCCCCAGUGCUCCAUAUGGAGCUGCUUGUGAUACACGGAGUAUGUGUUACUUGUGUAACGUGUAAGGAACAGCAUAUAGUCUCUAAAACAGAUCAAGUGGCAUUCACCAGGCUGCUUGCCCUCCUCGGUGGCUGGCUCCUGCAGUGCUGGGGGUCCCCUGCUCCGAGGCGGGGACAUGAUGAGGGAGACUGCCCGGAGGGUGCAGGGGAGGUGGAGGGGGAGCGGGAGGGGGGAGGAGGUGACUUGCUGGAAACCCCCAAGAGCAUCCAAGAGGAAACUUGCCCGAACUGAGCAGCCCGGGGCCAUCUUCAGCAGCCUAAGCAGGAAGCCGGCGCCAGGGAGCCUGGUCCGAAGGGGAAGCAAUGGCUCGUCCGCAUGUUUGCCAUCUGCCCGCGGGAUGACAGUGACCACAGCUGCCCCAGCUCCACGGAGUCUCAGCUCUGCUCUGACCUGAAUGCCACAUCCAACCGUGAGCUGGUGGACAGCUUCCGCUCCAGCAGCCCCCUGCCUCCCAGUCCGCAGUCCCUGUACAAGCGGGCCACGGAGGACUUCCGGGAAGACGCCUGGUCUUGCAGGUAACGGACUGGCAACGGGCUUCAGAUGGUGUGGGCCCCAGCAGCUCGCUGGGACACGGGCCGAGGGCGGGGCGGGUGCCAGGGGCUCUGGGUCUGAGUAGGGAGCGAGCAAUGCAGCCUGAGCCAUCUUCUCCCCAUGCUUCCCAGUGGCUUCCCAGAAAACCUGCCGGUGGACCGGGUACCCUCCCCGGGGGUGAAGGCAGGUGAUGCAGACCUGGAUUAUGAGAUUGUGGACAGGGCAGGUGAGUGCACCCCACCUGGGCCUCUGCAGCCCCCCCCCCGGCGGGGCCUAUGAGCAGGAGGAGAGGUGAGAACAGGGGUCUUCAGGGAGGCAGGUGAGACAGCCCGGUACCUCUCCAGGGAUUGGGCCCAGGCAUUGAGCUUCACUGCUGCCCCAGCCCGGGCCUCUGGGAAGUCCCGAGUACCUGGUCAUUCAAGUCCAUGCCAUUUACUGGGCGUCCUUUCUGUCUCUCACCCUGAAGCCAAGGCAGUUGUGUCCAUCCUCCCGUCCAUGUCAGCAUUAACGCUCAGACGGCCCCAGACACACGAGUUCUCUCUACCCCUCCCAGCUCUGGUCUGGGGACACUUAGCUUUCCCAGUGACCUCAGAAGGCAGCAGGCUUUAGUCACCCCCUUCCCACCUCCCUCCCCUGGAAGAGGCAUCUGCUGGGAACCUCUCUCCUCCCGGGUGUGGCACCUGAGACCUUCCCACAUCUCCUGUGGCUAAUUCCUCAUAUUUGUGACUUGACUG